UCAGCCAAUUGCAAAAGCUGCUUUCUUUCCUGUCCCACCUACCACAUCCUCUCAUUUUGUUUCUGUCUCUUUCAUCAUCAUUCACCCACAGUGCUUGCUGUUCCUGUACUCCCAGACCGGCAUGCUUGGCUGAAAAUUGAACUGUUGAGCUGGGAGGAAACAAUUGCUUUGGACCAGUGCCAUGUUCCAGAUACGGGGAGCAAUGAGCUGGUGGUGGAGAGGCUGGAGACUGACACCCCAACCCCACGAAACGAUUGGGGCUGAAGUGGACAAAUGAAGUUACUGAAUCUUGAAAAUGGGCUGAAAUGAAACACCCCGGAACUGAGCACCCAGGAUGGUUGGGUUUGCCGUGUUGAGUGGCAGAUUCUUGUCCACCAGGUGGUGAAUGUUUUGGAGGCAAGACCGUUGCUGUUGGCUCCAUUAAAAUGUCCAUGUGUGAGGACAUGUUGCUGUGCAAUUACCGCAAGUGCCGUGUCAAGCUCUCCGGCUACGCCUGGGUCACAGCUUGUUCACACAUCUUCUGCGACCAGCACGGCAGUGGGGAAUUCAGCCGUUCACCAGCAGUCUGUCCCGCCUGCAACAGCACCCUCUCUGGCAAGCUGGACAUUGUUCGCACUGAGCUAAGUCCCUCUGAGGAAUACAAGGCCAUGGUGUUGGCUGGACUGCGGCCAGAGAUUGUGCUGGACAUCAGCUCCCGCGCAUUAGCCUUCUGGACAUACCAGGUUCACCAGGAGCGCCUGUACCAGGAAUACACCUACAGCAAGGCCGAGGGACACCUGAAGCAGAUGGAGAAGGUGUACACUCAGCAGCUGCAGAGCAAGGACAUGGAACUGACUUCUAUGAAGAGUGAGGUCUCCUCCCUGAAGAAGGUGCUGGAGGAAUACAAGAAGAAGUUCAGCGAGCUCUCGGAGAAGCUCAUGGAGCGCAACCGCCAAUACCAGAAGCUCCAGGGCCUCUAUGACAGCCUCCGCCUGCGCAACAUUGCCGUGGCUAAUCAGGAGGCUGCCCACGAGCCUCCCAUGAUGCCUCAGCCUGUGAUCUUUGGCUUCCCAUUGGGUAAUGCUGCCAGGUUCCCCGGGGACACCACGCCGGUCCGGGGCAGGUGUGGGGAGGGAGACUUCCACUUCAAACCCUUCUUUGCCACAUCCCCACCUGCGGGCGAAUCUGGCAACAGCUUCUUCACCUUCUCCUCUCCCAGCAAUGAGCUGGAGCCUCACCCUGGAGCCAGCAGGACCUACAAGAUGAAGAGGAUGUAACUGGCUGAAAAUGGAAUUGAUGAGCUGGAAGGAAACAAUUGCUUUGGACCAAUGCCAUAUUCCAGAUAUGGGGAGCAAUGAGCUGGUGGUGGAGAGGCUGGAGACUGACACCCCAACCCCAUGAAACGAUUGGGGUGAAGUGGACAAAUGAAGUAACUGAAUCUUGAAAAUGGGCUGAAAUGAAACACCCCGGAUCUGAGCACCAAGUACAGUAGGGUUAUAAAGGAUGGAAGACAGGAAGCAUCAGCAUUACAGAUGGGGAACUGAGGGGCAGGAACUCUGAAAACAAAAUUGGCUGGUUUCUCUUCUCCCUCCUCGCUCUGGAUCCCUUAUAGGAAUCACAGAUGGAUGAUUUGAGAUGAACCUUCAAGGAAAAUGUAUCUUUCUCUCCACCAGCAUCAACUGUAAGAGAGAAUUUGGGGCCUGAAGAUUAAAAGAUUUGCCCUGUCUCUGAUCUGUAUUACAAGGACUCUUUGAAGUUAUGUCCAGGAAAGGCUGUACUAAAACCAGGAUAAUUAAACUAGAAUGGAUGUGUAA